rnacentral:rRNA from 1 species
UAUCUCUGUAGAGUCUGCAUAUCAAUAAGCGGAGGAAAAGAAACUAACUAGGAUUCCCUCAGUAACGGCGAGUGAAGCGGGAAGAGCUCAAAUUUGAAAUCUUCAAGGUUCUACCUUGACGAAUUGUAGUUUAAAGAAGUGUUUUCUGUUGGAGUUUGAGUAGCAAAAGUUCUUUGGAAUAGGGACAUCAUAGAGGGUGAGAAUCCCGUAUUUGGACCAUUAUUUCCAGCUUUGUGAUACACUUUCAAAGAGUCGGAUUGUUUGGGAAUGCAGUCCAAAAUGGGUGGUAAAUUUCAUCUAAAGCUAAAUAUUGGCGAGAGACCGAUAGCGAACAAGUACCGUGAGGGAAAGAUGAAAAGAACUUUGAAAAGAGAGUUAAACAGUACGUGAAAUUGUCAAAAGGGGAAGCGUUUGACACCAGUGUUGUUUUCUCUGAAAAUCAAUUAAAGAACUGUUUAUGCUAAGUUGUUUAGACUUUAUCAGCUAACUGUUUAGUUUUGAGCUUUUCUUUAAUGCACUUUUCAGUUAACAAGUCAACAUCAAUUUCUUUUGCUGUAAAAAAGCUUGAGGAAGGUGGCUUGAGAUUCGUCUUAAGUGUUUAUAGCCUCUUGCCUAUGCAGUCGGAGAGAUUGAGGUCUGCAGCGUAGAUCCUUCGGGGCUAAAUGCAUUUGUGCUAAGUUAUAGCAUUUUAUAGACAACUUGUUGACUAUGAUUUGUCUUGUAGCUUACUCGCUUAUGUUAUUUUACCUACGCUUAGGAUGUUGAAGAUGUAGCACAUCAU